GACAGAGGGUGCAAACGUUGUUCGGAAUUACUGGGCGUAAAGCGCGUAUAGGCGGCUAAGUAAGUCGGGCGUGAAGUCCCACGGCUCAACCGUGGAAGUGCACUCGAAACUGCAUAGCUAGAGUCCUGGAGAGGAAGGUGGAAUGCUUGGUGUAGAGGUGAAAUUCGUAGAUAUCAAGCGGAACACCGGUGGCGAAGGCGGCCUUCUGGACAGUGACUGACGCUGAGACGCGAAAGCGUGGGGAGCAAACAGG
rnacentral:rRNA from 1 species